GGCUGAUCUAAGUGUAGUGGUGUUUACUGUUUACAGCUAAUUGAUCACAACCAGUUACAGAUUCCUUUGUUCUUUUUCCACUCCCACUGCUUCACUUGACUAGUCUGGG
ensembl:misc_RNA Y_RNA Y RNA